GGGAAUAGCUCAGCUGGUAGAGCACCAGCUUCCCAAGCUGGAUGUCGCGGGUUCGAGCCCCGUUUCCC
rnacentral:tRNA from 1 species